rnacentral:rRNA from 1 species
CUAAGGAACCGAAAGGUUGGUAGAGGAGCAUUGCAUGCGGAACGAAGCAGUACCGGAAGGAGCUGUGGACUGCAUGGAAGAGAGAAUGCCGGAAUGAGUAGCGAGAAUAAGGUGAGAAUCCUUAUGGCCGAAUAUCCAAGGUUUCCAGAGUAAAGCUGAUCUGCUCUGGGUAAGUCGGGGCCUAAGGCGAGGACGAGAGUCGUAGCCGAUGGACAACAGGUGGAGAUUCCUGUACUGCGGUAUGACAGAACUGUGGGGACACGUAAGGAAAGCGGAAGCCGGGAAUGGAAAGCCCGGUGCAAGCGGGGUACCAGUCACUUUGGCAAAUCCGGGUGGCAAUGGGAAGCCGUGAUGCGGAGUGAAAUAAAGUAACGAAGUCCGUGAGCCAUGCGUCAAGAAAAGCCGCUAUUGUUUAUACCGUACCCGUACCGUAAACCGACACAGGUGGAUGAGGAGAGAAUCCUAAGGCC